rnacentral:lncRNA from 1 species
CUUUGCUAUUUUAAUUGGUUCGUUGAAAUCACAUCCUCCCUGGAAUCUAAAUCCCCAGGGUGAUCCACCCUUUAAAGUUACAGUGUACAUUACGAAUCGGUUGAAACCGCCAUCAAAAGAAUAAUACUAAGAUGAGAGUCGAGUGGGAUGUUUUAUGCGUACGGAAUCCAAAUAUAUACGAUAUGCAUCGCAUGUGAAGACUCAAGAAGGAAACUAAAUGUAACUUUAAUGUAACAAAGAUCCUCUUUGAUAAAAAUUAUUGAUUUCAAAUUAAAUCACACAAAUUUAAGGUCGAUUUUCCUUGUCGAAAUCCACUACUGCAUAUCCAUCAAGGUUUCAUAGAGAUCAAAAAGUAAAGUGAAACAAAAAUAUUCUCCAGUUGCUUAAUUCUGAAUAAACAUUGAAUAAUUCGAUAGACUAAUGCCCAGUUAUGACCAUAAUAACAGUUAUACACUUAUCAGACAGUUGUUUACUACUGAAAUGUGGGAUAAUCCCUUACCAAAACAAAAAUCAUCUGCUCAGCAUGUGCCCUUCUUUUUUAC